ensembl:lncRNA
UUCUGAUCUCCCGCCUCUCUUCUCGUCCCCAUCUUCCCCUGUUUCCAGUGCCACAUCCUUCCCUUUUCUAUUCCCUGUUCCUAUUCUUCUGACCCCUGUGUUUCCUUGUCCCUCCCCACUCUCUCCCCCAACAGGAAUCCUUGGUCUUCCAGAUGUCAUUACCCCCAGCAGCAGUGAUGUCUCCUCCCCACCAGGAUGGUCAUCGGAUGUCAGUGAGCAAAGCAGAUCAGGGAACUCAGAGGACACCCCACUGCCUGAUGAGGAUGUAUUGGGGAAUAAAAUGUAGGUAACAAGUAGCAUUAAGUUCAACGCCGGUGCAAUGAUGCCAAAAAUGACUAAUCCAUGUUUGUAACUUUGCAAUUUGUAUUCCUGCCUUUUUAUUUGUCCUUUAAAACAUCACUUCCCAUCCUCACUUGUGACCUGACCCAGUGGGCCUCCUGCCCAGAUAACUGUCAGCCCCAGAGGGCCGAGAGUAGCCGGCUGCAGGCUUCCUCUGGUAGAAGCAAGAACCAGCAAUGCAAGGAGGCCCUCGGGUUGCCCAACAGGGACAUCACGGGGCAGGAGGACCUCUGGAGCUGCAGGAGAAGAACCCUUCUGAAGCUGCUGAGGUGCUUGGGGGAGCUCUAUAAAUCAUGGCAGGGUGAGGGCUCCUACAAAGGCAAGCACCGACUCCCGUGGUCUAUUAAGAGCUGUCUGGCAGAGUUCAACGAGCAGUAAGAGCAUUGCUCUGAGCAGGAUGCUCAUGAGUUCCUGCUCCUCGUCCUCAUGAAGAUGAAGAUGGAAGGUGAGGCACUACAGGAGACCUCCACGUCACCCAGCUACAUCUGCCCCGUCCAGAACUUUGAGUUCAGACUGCAGUGUGUCUGCACCUGCUCAAGCUGUGGUGACAAGGGCUUCCUGGACGGGGAGCAGAACCACUUUCCUUUGACCUCCACCCUUCGUUGAUAGCCGGCCUCCAACUCUACUUCAAACCUUCAGAUUUGGAGUGCACCUGCCAGCAGUGCUGAAUGCCAGGCAUCAGAGAUUCAGCAUUUCCUCACUCUGCCCAGAGUGCUUCACAUGAAGCGCUUCCACCAUGACGGGGCAUGGUUGAGGAAGGUGACCGAUGCUGCCAGCGUUCCUCCAUGGCUGUCUCUGGCCUCCCUCGUUGGAAAGCAGGGUGCUGCAGCUGGGAUUGGACACACUGAGUGGAACAUCUUGACAGUGCAGGAGACAGGGACAGAGAACUC